CUGUGGAUCUGAAAAGAAUUUUCUCAUCUAAACCAGAGCUUCAGUCUCCCAGGAUCGUGAAUGUCUGAGAAUAAGCAGAUGCAGCCCUUUUCACAGAAGGGCAAGGUCCGCAGCUCCUCGGCAUCAUGGCAUUAUUUAUUCAUCAUGAGAGCCGCGAGUGAACAUGUACCCUGCAGAAAAAUCAAAUCAGUGUUCGGUUUCUCGAGCAGCUGCGUUUGGCAGAGAAAAAGCAUUUGGAUCUAACUUUGGUAACUGGACAAUUAUAGGCGUUAUUAAAUUGGAGAUGCAAAUGAGUAACCAUGUUUUCUUCCGAGUUUGUUCUAUUUCACUUGUAGUGCUUAAAUUAAAACCAGCUCAGCAUUUGUAAAAGCUGAUUCCUGAAAGCUUAGAAAAGUUCUGUGCUUGUCUAUAUACCAGUAGUUUCACUAAAAACAUUUACAUAUUAGUUAACCCCAAAGGACCAAAUUUGCAUUUAUUCAUGUUUACAGGUUUCAAUGGUUUUAGCCCUGAAGUCAUUGUGUCCUUAGAUACCUAACACUGAAGAUUUGCUCACAGGUGGAGAUUCAGAUAGAAAAAAACACACAAGCUUAGAAAUGUUAAUAAGUAUCUCUAUGCAUUAUAAAAAUACCUACAGAUAAUUUAAAGCCUGAGUAAUUUGUUUAUAUAUUUCCCGAUUUGUGGAAUAGACUAAUAUUACAUCAUAGUCCGAGAACUUUUUAUAAAUUGCCUAGUUUUUAAUUUCAAUUCUUCCAUUUACAAACUCUGGGACCUUGAACAAAUUAUUUUACCUCAGUCUCCUCACUAUAAAAUGGAGACAAUAAUAGUGGUACCUCUUAAGUUGUUGAAAGCGUUAAACAAAUCAGUACAUGUUAAAUAAAUUAAUAUACAUGCUUAGGAUAAUGCCUGACAGUAAUUGCAAUUCUGUAGAUGUGUGUGCAUAUGUAUAGAUUGAAUGUAGUUUUAUCAAACAGUAAAUUGGCAUAUAAUAAUAAUCCCUCAUUAUCUGUCUACCUUUCCCUCCAUAUUUCAGUUCAAUAGAAUUAUUGUUUUAUUCACUUUGUAGUCCACAACGCUUAUCGAUUUGUGUUGCUGCAACAUGCUAGUGUACAUUUUAUAAUAAAUAUUGUGGCUUUUAGACUGUUCA
rnacentral:lncRNA from 10 species